AUUCAGCUGACGAGUCACAAAUAGGACGAAACGCACGUCUUGGAU
rnacentral:hammerhead_ribozyme from 1 species